GCUGAAGAGAGGAGCUUGCUCUUCUUGGAUGAGUUGCGAACGGGUGAGUAACGCGUAGGUAACCUGCCUUGUAGCGGGGGAUAACUAUUGGAAACGAUAGCUAAUACCGCAUAACAAUGGAUGACACAUGUCAUUUAUUUGAAAGGGGCAAUUGCUCCACUACAAGAUGGACCUGCGUUGUAUUAGCUAGUAGGUGAGGUAAUGGCUCACCUAGGCGACGAUACAUAGCCGACCUGAGAGGGUGAUCGGCCACACUGGGACUGAGACACGGCCCAGACUCCUACGGGAGGCAGCAGUAGGGAAUCUUCGGCAAUGGGGGCAACCCUGACCGAGCAACGCCGCGUGAGUGAAGAAGGUUUUCGGAUCGUAAAGCUCUGUUGUAAGUCAAGAACGGGUGUGAGAGUGGAAAGUUCACACUGUGACGGUAGCUUACCAGAAAGGGACGGCUAACUACGUGCCAGCAGCCGCGGUAAUACGUAGGUCCCGAGCGUUGUCCGGAUUUAUUGGGCGUAAAGCGAGCGCAGGCGGUUUGAUAAGUCUGAAGUUAAAGACUGUGGCUCAACCAUAGUUCGCUUUGGAAACUGUCAAACUUGAGUGCAGAAGGGGAGAGUGGAAUUCCAUGUGUAGCGGUGAAAUGCGUAGAUAUAUGGAGGAACACCGGUGGCGAAAGCGGCUCUCUGGUCUGUAACUGACGCUGAGGCUCGAAAGCGUGGGGAGCGAACAGGAUUAGAUACCCUGGUAGUCCACGCCGUAAACGAUGAGUGCUAGGUGUUGGAUCCUUUCCGGGAUUCAGUGCCGCAGCUAACGCAUUAAGCACUCCGCCUGGGGAGUACGACCGCAAGGUUGAAACUCAAAGGAAUUGACGGGGGCCCGCACAAGCGGUGGAGCAUGUGGUUUAAUUCGAAGCAACGCGAAGAACCUUACCAGGUCUUGACAUCCCGAUGCUAUUUCUAGAGAUAGAAAGUUACUUCGGUACAUCGGUGACAGGUGGUGCAUGGUUGUCGUCAGCUCGUGUCGUGAGAUGUUGGGUUAAGUCCCGCAACGAGCGCAACCCCUAUUGUUAGUUGCCAUCAUUCAGUUGGGCACUCUAGCGAGACUGCCGGUAAUAAACCGGAGGAAGGUGGGGAUGACGUCAAAUCAUCAUGCCCCUUAUGACCUGGGCUACACACGUGCUACAAUGGUUGGUACAACGAGUUGCGAGUCGGUGACGGCGAGCUAAUCUCUUAAAGCCAAUCUCAGUUCGGAUUGUAGGCUGCAACUCGCCUACAUGAAGUCGGAAUCGCUAGUAAUCGCGGAUCAGCACGCCGCGGUGAAUACGUUCCCGGGCCUUGUACACACCGCCCGUCACACCACGAGAGUUUGUAACACCCGAAGUCG
rnacentral:rRNA from 1 species